ACAGCAGCCGCCGCGGUAACACGGAGGAUCCAAGCGUUAUCCGGAAUCAUUGGGUUUAAAGGGUCCGUAGGCGGUCUUGUAAGUCAGUGGUGAAAGCCCAUCGCUCAACGGUGGAACGGCCAUUGAUACUGCAGGACUUGAAUUAUUGGGAAGUAACUAGAAUAUGUAGUGUAGCGGUGAAAUGCUUAGAGAUUACAUGGAAUACCAAUUGCGAAGGCAGGUUACUACCAAUUGAUUGACGCUGAUGGACGAAAGCGUGGGUAGUGAUCAGGAUUAGAUACCCCCGUAGUCCCUGUCUCUUAUAC
rnacentral:rRNA from 1 species